UUGACUGAUAAAUCUGAUAUUAUAGAGGAUUGACGUUUAAUAAUUGAUUUUAAGUUGUUCGAACAAAUGUAUUUGGUCUAACAAUCCUAAUAUUUAUAUAUUAUAUUAUUGAUGAUUUUAAGAUUUCAGGGUCCUCUUGGAAUCGGUAGGACUACAAUCAUAUUAGCUCUUACUAUCUUGAACAUAAGUAGGCAUUUUUAGAGCUUAAUUCAUCAAAAAACACACAGGUAUCCAGACUGCUGACUUAUUGUUUUACAACCUGUCUGUAAAUUUUUUUUAAUCUUACAGUUCUUUUCUAUUUUUCCUUCCAUAAACAUUUGUUUUGUAAGAAGGAAAUCGGAGUACUAUCUUAUAAGCACAUGGAUCGAGCGGCAAUUUAAGGAUGUCGAUGAGGGGCUAUAUGAAAGAAGAAGGAUGGGUUCAAAUGGUAGUUGGUAGGAGGGAUAUGGAAACAAGGAAGAGAUCGUGUGGGUUGGGGUGUUGUUUGGAGAGGUAUUAGGAGAAUGGACGGCUUUACCCUUGGUAACCAUAUGAUCUCAUCCACCAAACAUAACCAAUUUUUAUUGUUGUGUACACACCAACAACUCAUUUUCGAUGCUAGAGCCCUGCCUCAUUUUGUUGCUCUCCUUAAGCGACACAAGGAUGCAGCGAAUGGUGUUAUAAGGAGAGCAGCAGAUGCAAUCACAAACGAGAAUAGCAGCAUCAAGACCCGUCCUUGUUAGGGUUGAAGGUGGAAUCCCUCCUCUUGUUGAAUUGCUUGAAGGUGCAGAGAGCUGCUGCAGGACCUUAGCUUUCAAAAAUGAUGAAAACAAAACUCAGGUUGAAUGAUUGAUAUAAAAUGUGUUUUGGGGAUUGUUUGGACAAAGUUUUCUAACAUUGGAACCUUGCCAUAUCUGCAGUAAUGCUUUGCAUACUCUUAUUCUAAUGCUGCAAUACACUAUGAAGCAGUUAGUUCUAUUUUUUAAAUUCACUUUUUUCUCCUUUUCAUCUCAUAAGAUUGCUUGUGAAUGGUAUAUCUCAGGUUGGUGUGAUCGGGAAUCUUGUCCGUUCAUACUUACAUAUAUUUUGUUUUAAUAUCCAGAAUCUCUUUGGUUUUAUCAAUCUUAGACUCUAUAAUUCGUUAAAUUUGAAAUAUCCAUCUACCCUUGAUCCUUGACAAUAAGCUUUGGCUGCAGAUUUAUAUGCUUUGACAAGUUAUGAUGAUGCUAAAGAUUAGAAAAAUGCAGCAAAUAAGCAAAUAAUGUGGAAUCUAAUCUUGGAUUAACCCAACUCCCUGCUAAUGAUCUUGGUGCAUUAAUGCACUGUGACUUUCAUGCUUUU